CUUCUUCCUUUUAAUUUUCUGCAUCUCCCUCAAACUCUCCCUCUAUAUUGCAGCAAAGAAAAAAAAAAAAAAAAAAAACCAGAAAAUAGAAGACCCAAACCCCUUCUUCCAUUUUCGGUGAAGCCCAGAACACCGUUCAAUCUUUUCCCUCUGAUGUGUUCGGUUAGCUCCCUUGUGUGUGUGUGUGGGUGUUUGGGUAGUGUAUUAUGUAUAGAAAAGAAAGAGAAGAAAGGUAGAACAAGUGAGAAACUUCUGGAACGUGUUCUUCCUUUAUGACACUGUAGACCAGAAUCUUUUCUUUAUGGAUGGCAUAGACCCUACCCCUAAGAGCAAUGGAUCGAUAAAGACCGGUCUAACUUUUGUAUUGUACAUAUUUAUUUUGAAUUCCUAGAAAUAUGAUGUAAUAAUUAAAGAACUACUAUAUAUAUUCAUAUAAUGAAAUAUAGCCAUGUGCUAUUCAUAAGAAAA